GGUGUUUUGGCCGAGUGGUUAAGGCGCCAGCUUCAGGUGCUGGUGGGGCAACCCGCGCAGGUUCGAGUCCUGCAGACAUCA